CCUAAUUCUAGCCCAUUUUGCAAAGCCCAAACCAUAAAAACCCAAAACAAUUCUUCCUCCCCUUACUCUACUUCACGUAAAAUUAAGCAAGCCAAAACCCACAUCUCCCUCCUUCAAUCUCACGUAAACAGCAAACCCCAAGAACCCCUUCCUCACUGCCGACUUGCCCAGUCGCCGGACCUCCACCGCUGGUAAGCCCUCUCAUUCCCUUCUCCGUCGUUCCCCUUUUCUUUUCUUUCUUCUUUCUCUUCUCCCUCUGUUUCGUUCUUUCCCCUCAACCAUUGCUUUCGGCUUUCGCACAACACCACUGUAAGCACCACCUUCGCCGCACCACUUAGCGCAGCCGCCCACGAACCUCGACCACCGCCGUGCACGCCCGAGCCACGCAACCACCGCCCUUGCGGCCACCCGCCGCCGUGCCCUGUCCGCCGGCCAAUCCUUUUCUCUCCCUCUUUACUUGGCGGAGAAUUCUCUUUAGGUGACUUUUGAAAGUGUUAAAGUGGCCUAUCAGUUUGUUUACACAAGUCUCUAAGGAUCAAUAAGCAUUGUCCAUCUACAGGUUUGAAGAUGAUGCAUCAUUGGGAUCGGGAUUAAAGAGCUUGUAUUUAGUUUGUGUUGCUAUGUGCUUUGGGUUUUGUUAAUUUGGACUUUAAACAUGUCGUACUAAUUACAUUUCCUUAUUUUCGUUGAUUGGUUUUGAGGUUAAAUCUGUAAUCGAUUAUUUAUAAACCUAAAGUUAGUUUUAUGUUUUCCGCUGCAAAAUUCUGAAUAAGCCGUUACGUUUUCACACGGGCGAUAAUACUUUGGUAAUUCUCCAUAGUUAUAUUUAUAAAAAGGGUUAUUUUAGAAAAAAGGAGAAUUGUCGGGGUGUUACAAAGUGGU